UGGUCAUUAGAAAGCCAAGUGCUGGCCAGCCCGAGGUUGAAGGCUCAGACCAACUUCCAGCUCUUUGAAUCAAAUUAAGGACUCAGUGGUGCUGGCCAGACUCUGCCUUCAGCAAAGGGGCUGUCCUUGGUACAGGUGGGCUUUAACUUUAAUGUCCCAGAGGAGCAGCCUGGGCCCUUCAGCAGGGGUCUGCCUCCUCCAAACGACGAAAGCCUGGCCCCUCAUCUAGCGCUGUUGGUCCUCCUCUCGCUCCAGUGCCGCUCCUCCCCUCUUCUGUCCAGCCCCCUCCUCUGCCUGGACUACGUGUACUCAAGACCAGAGCCUACAGGAAGAGGAAGGCGGCUGAAGCUGCUGUGGCAGGGCAUGGUCCGCUGCCAGGAGGAAAAACCUGCUGGCAGCCAACAUCACACACCUGCAGCAUGUGUGGCCAACCCAAAAGGAUUGACACUGACCACACUCAUAUUGCAGUGGUGUCACACUGUGAGACUGUUAGUGGAAAGACUGCAGAGGUGUGGAGGGAAGAGAUGAAGGACAACUUUUAUUUACAUUAAUUUACAUUAUUAUUAUUAUAAUAAUAAUUAUUAUUAUUAUUAUAUUUUAUUUGAUGCAUUUGGACUGUUGUUUGUGUCAACUGAUGUCUUAUGAUGAUCUCAGUCCAGUUUUCCCUCUCUUUUGGCCUAUUUAUGGUUUAUUUCUUUCAAAUUAUGUCUACCUUAAAUUAAUCUUCACUUGUUGGUUUAUUUGACCUAAAACUUGUUACUAAAGCAAAUUGUUUUAAUUUAGAACCAGAAGUAGUUAAGUUGUAUCCUGUAUUUAAUUAUGUUCUUAACAGGAUAAGCAGAACCCUGGUGAAUGUUUGAGAGAGAUUCCUUUGUUUCUUUGGAUGUCUUAAGAAUGUAAGAUGUUUUAGUUACCCUUUCUAUAUUAUUUUUGUGGUAUUCAUGGCAAGGUAUUUACUUUUGUUUGUUGUAUAGAAGAAAACAUCCAUCCACCCAUUCUAUCAACAGUUCCUUGCUGAAUUUCCUGAACAAAAUAAAUGGUUAAAUGGC